GUGAAUCAUCGAGUCUUUGAACGCAAAUUGCACUCUCUGGUAUUCCGGAGAGUAUGCCUGUUUGAGGGUCAGUUAAAUAAAAAUCGGUGUUGUUGCUGCCUUGCGUAGUGACGCAUCGGAUCUGGGCCGUCUUACCUUCGGUUAAGUGACCUAAAAUUUUGCAUGAUUUUCGAACGUAUUUAAAUUAUUUACGUACGUUUGUGAUAUCGAAUACUAGGUGUGGUCAUUGUCAUGAUUCGCGCCUAUAAUUUUUCAUCAAAAUGACCUCAAAUCAGGUAAGAGUACCCGCUGAACUUAAGCAUAUCAAUAAGGCGAGG
rnacentral:rRNA from 1 species